UACGGGGGGAGCAAGCGUUGUUCGGAUUUACUGGGCGUAAAGCGCGCGUAGGCGGCGAACCAAGUCAGGGGUGAAAUCCCACAGCUCAACUGUGGAACUGCCUUUGAAACUGGUUUGCUAGAGUACUGGAGGGGAGUGGGGAAUUCCUAAUGUAGAGGUGAAAUUCGUAGAUAUUAGGAGGAACACCGGUGGCGAAGGCGCCACUCUGGACAGUAACUGACGCUGAGGCGCGAAAGCGUGGGGAUCAAACAGGGAUUAAGAAACCCUA
rnacentral:rRNA from 1 species